rnacentral:rRNA from 1 species
ACAUACAAGUAGUAGGGAAGGAAACUGGUACCGACCUUCGGGAGCUUGUACAGGUGCUGCAUGGCUGUCGUCAGCUCGUGUCGUGAGAUGUCGGUUAAGUCCGCUAACGAGCGCAACCCUCGCUGUGUGUUACAAGUGUCACACGGAACUGCCGGUCAUAAACCGGAGGAAGGUGGGAUGACGUCAAGUCAGCAUGGCCUUUAUAUCCUGGGCUACACACACGCUACAAUGGGAAGGGACAAUAGGUUGCGAAGCCGCGAGGCGGAGCCAAUCCAGCAAAACUUCCCUCAGUUCAGAUUGCAGGCUGCAACUCGCCUGCAUGAAGUUGGAGUUGCUAGUAAACGCAGGUCGGCCAUACUGCGUUGAAUACGUUCCCGGGGCUU